AUUGAACGCUGGCGGCAGGCCUAACACAUGCAAGUCGAACGAGUGGCGGACGGGUGAGUAAUGUCUGGGAAACUGCCCGGUGGCGGGGGAUAACUACUGGAAACGGUAGCUAAUACCGCAUACCAUCGGAUGUGCCCAGAUGGGCUUAGCUAGUGGGUGGGGUAAAGGCUCACCAAGGCAACGAUCCCUAGCUGGUCUGAGAGGACGACCAGCCACACUGGAACUGAGACACGGUCCAGACUCCUACGGGAGGCAGCAGUGGGGAAUAUUGGACAAUGGGCGGAAGCCUGAUGCAGCCAUGCCGCGUGUAUGAAGAAGGCCUUCGGGUUGUAAAGUACUUUCAGCGGGGAGGCGUUACCCGCAGAAGAAGCACCGGCUAACUCCGUGCCAGCAGCCGCGGUAAUAA
rnacentral:rRNA from 1 species